ensembl:lncRNA
CGCUAAUUAGGAGCAAUUCAAAUGAAAUUAAUAUUGUACUCUACCUUUCUAGUUUCACAUGAAAUUUGAAUUUAAAGUUAUGUACACAGAGUUUCUACACACAUUCAUGUAACUUGUUAGUCACUGGACAUCCAUUCUUUAUGCGUUUCUGAAGAACAACAUGCAUUUUUUAUUAUUAUUCUAAUUCCUUGCUAGCUUAUAGAUGAAAGAAACCUGUAAAACACUAUUGUUCUCCUUCACAUGUUAAUUGGGUUUGUUCUUUUCUGUGAUUAUGCCUAUGACUUUUAAUUUGCACUGGCAUUUGCCAGCUCUAUAGGAAAGUAUGUAUGAGGUCUUCAGUUGGAGAGGAGGUAUUUCACAGGUGUCCUGACAGAUUAAGAAACAAAUAAAACCAAUAUCCAACUUUUGUGUAGUAAAAGGAAUCUGUAAAUCAGUACAUUGUCUGCAAUGGGCCUCUUAUUAGUAUGGGAAGUAAAAGAAUUAGAACCAUAUUUUUUGGAACUAGCUUCAUCCUCAAACUACGGUCCAACCAAGCCCUGAGGCAUGUGUCCGUUUUCAAUAAAUGUAAUACCAUAUUGUUAUAUUCCAUGAUUAAAUCCAUGGGGGAACAGACAGUGACAAAACUGGAUGAAGAAUCUUUUUUACACUCCAAUGAUUUUUUUUUUUUUUCAAUGGGUAGGCAGAAAACUAUGUUUUAUUCCAUUCUGCAUGAGACCAUGUUUAGGAAAUAUCCUGAAAAGACUGAUCUUUCAUUGGUAGUGAAAAGGAGAGAACACCUCCAACACGUGUGAUCCCUUACUGGAGAGCAGUCUGUCAUCUGUCAGACAGUGAAAUCCAUGUUGUCACUGAGUAACUAAAGGUCAGCAUUUAGCUGAGCUAGGAGAAUAAUUCAGAGCAAAUCAACUAUUAGGCAAAUGUUGCCUCUUUUUUGCUUACAAGUUGUCUGCAAAUAGAUCACAAUUUUCUCAAAUAUAUUCAUUAUUCAGAAUUAUUUCCUGAAUGAUUCUGGUGUAUAAUUAUUGGCCUGUUCACAAGCCUUUCAUUUUGAGUACUCGGUUUUCAAGCUGUUCUAAUUGGACAGAUGGAUCACAUGGUGUCUUUCAGUGCUUUGAUAGGGUAAAUGUAACUCUUCAAUUUCACUUUCAGGUGGAAUCAUCUCAACUACGAAGUUAAUGUCUACUGCUAUCCUGUUAUAUGUUCUUGUAAUUUAUGUGAAGUUUUACAUGUAAAUCAACACAUCCAGAU